rnacentral:rRNA from 1 species
GACGAACGCUGGCGGCGUGCCUAAUACAUGCAAGUCGAACGCAGUGGGGACGGGUGAGUAACACGUGGGUAACCUCCCAUCAGAGGGGAUAACACUUGGAAACAGGUGCUAAACCGAUACUGAUGGAUGGACCCGCGGUGCAUUAGCUAGUGGGUGGGGUAACGGCUCACCAAGGCCACGAUUCAUAGCUGACCUGAGAGGCGGAUCGGCCACACUGGGACUGAGACACGGCCCAGACUCCUACGGGAGGCAGCAGUAGGGAAUAUUAGGCAAUGGACGAAAGUCUGACCGAGCAACGCCGCGUGAGUGAAGAAGGUUUGCGGAUCGUAAAACUCUGUGGUUAGAGAAGCGGUAUCUAAACAGAAAGCCACGGCUAACUACGUGCCAGCAGCCGAGGUAAUAA